rnacentral:rRNA from 1 species
UACGUAGGGCGCAAGCGUUGUCCGGAAUUAUUGGGCGUAAAGAGCUCGUAGGUGGCUUGUCACGUCGGGUGUGAAAGCUUGGGGCUUAACUCCAGGUCUGCAUUCGAUACGGGCUGGCUAGAGGUAGGUAGGGGAGAACGGAAUUCCUGGUGUAGCGGUGAAAUGCGCAGAUAUCAGGAGGAACACCGGUGGCGAAGGCGGUUCUCUGGGCCUUACCUGACGCUGAGGAGCGAAAGCUGGGGAGCGAACGG